rnacentral:rRNA from 1 species
CGUGGAAGUCUGAAGGGUGUGUGGUGGAUGCCUAGACUUCGUAGAGCGAUGAAGGACGCAGCAGUCUGCGAAAAGUUCCGGGGAGGUGACGAGCAACCGUUAUAUCCGGAAAUUUCCGAAUGGGGAAACCCCGCCGAGUAAUCGGUGAUCAUUGGCGCGUGCCGAUGAAGCAAACCCAGGGAAGUGAAACAUCUCAGUACCUGGAGGAGAAGAAACCAACAGGACAUCUCGGUCUCUGACCCAAGACUCUUUGGGGCAGGGACCGGGAUUCUGGUAUUCCCUUAGUAGCGGCGAGCGAAACGGGAGAAGCCCAAACCGUACGCAUCACACAGAGUGUGAUGCGAGCUGUCAGCUAUCAGCUGCCGGCUUUCAGCUUUUGAAUUUCAAAGCUGGAAGCUGAAAGCUGUAACCUGAAAGCUUGUAUCGCGCCUUGCGUGAUGCGUGCGGGGUUGUAAGGCGACGGCGUUCCAUUUAUGGAAGAGAAGUUAUAAACGAGUUUUAUAGAGGAACGCGCUGGGAAGCGCGGCCCUAGACGGUAAUAGCCCCGUACUCGAAAUAAAACUCGCUUCUUUGUCGUCGAUCUUGAGUAAUCCGAGACACGAAUAGCUUGGAUGAAUCUGCCGG